rnacentral:rRNA from 1 species
AUAUCACUAAGCGGAGGAGAAGAAAUUAACUAAGAUUGCCCCAGUAACGGCGAGUGAAGCGGCAAAAGCCCAAAGUGGAAAUCUUCACCUUUCAGGUGACGAAUUGUAAUCUAUAGGCUGGAAUCUCACCGGUCGGUGGCGCAGAAGUGACCUGGAAUGGUACGCCAGAGAGGGUGACAGCCCCGUUCGUGGUGCCACUGGCUAACGAGAUCUAGUUCAAGAGUCGGGUUGUUUUGAAUUGCAGCCCUAAUCUAGGAGAUAGACUUCUUCUAAGGCUAAAUAUUUAUGGGAGACCGAUAGCGCACAAGUA